AUCUUUCCUGUCUUUCUUUUAUGGAAAUAAUUUUUAAAGGACAGUCUCUUCUCAAAGUACUAAAGUUAAAAAAUAGGUGUUUUAUAAUAUCUUCCUCUGAUAUACUUACUAAGCUGUAUUUUUAAACAAUCAUCAUAUUAUACGGAUGGAAAUAUCAAUGCAAGAUAGUUUACAACUAUAAGAUCUCAUUUAUUUAAUUAAAGUUAGAAUUAAUAAGGCUUGAACUCUAACAGUAAUUUAAGUGUACUUCCUACCUUGCUAUCCUGUCAAUGGAUAUUUGUUUAAUGUUAUAUUGCAAACAAGAAAGCCAGAAUUAAAAGAUAAUUUAAAAAAAGGAAAUGUAAUUUGACUAGAAUUCAAAGUGCUUGGUUUUAAUCCCCGCUUUGUCUGGCACUAAAUGUGAGACCUAAUCUCCAUCUCCCACUUGAAAAUGAGAUCAUGGCUUUGAUUUCCAUCAUUUCCAAGGUUCAUUUAAUUUUAAAAUAGAUUUAUUUUUAGAUUCAAUGUAGGCUUUAAUAUAGUUUUUCACUCCUUUAGUAGAUACUUGAUGAGCACUUCCUUCAUGUUGGGCACAGUGCCAGGCAUGGGGAUGUGGCAGCAGAGUGAAGAGCUCCUUUGCUCAUGGGCUCAGGGUUUGGGGAACACAAACAGUACGCAAUUAUACAAAUAAAUAGAAACUGUGAUACGUGCUGCAAAGAUAUCACAGAGGGUGUCAGGAGAGAAAAUAAUAGGUUGAAACUAAAUUGGAUUGAGAGUGAGAACAUGUCUCUCUGAGAGAGCAAGAACUUUAAGCUGAAACCUCAGGGGCAAGAAAAAAUUAGCCAGUUGAAAAAUAAACCAGAACCUAGUAUUUCAAGUAGAGGAAACAGCUGACAGAAAACUCUGAGAUAUGAAAUCACACAGAGAUUUAGGACAUUGUCUGAGAUGAGGUUGGAAAGAGUGGGCAGAAACUACAUGAUGGGAAGCCUGAGGCCAGAGUAGGUACUUUUAUCCUAAAUACAAUAAAAAUCUGACAGUGAAGGAGACUCAGAGAGACAGAGACAGGUAGGUGUGGAGAGGAGUUGUGUGCAAUUCACAAAAGACAAGAUGCUGAAUAGGUGAGAGGUUUGGCUUUUUUCCAUAUUUUUGUUUUGUAAAACAAAUUUUGUAAAAAUUUGGCUUUUUUGAAAAGGCCAGAUUCUUGGGAGAUAAUUUCAGACAAGAGUAUAUGUGGAAUUUGAGCAUUUUGAAAAUGUGUUUUAAAAGGCUUCCUAUACCUCCUAGGAGUACUCAUACAUCAAUUUGAAGAUCGCUGACAUAAAACUGAGUACCUGAUCUUAGACAGUUGGUAAUAUAGGUAGAAAGAGAAGUCACAGGCCUAUGAAAAUUCAAUUAAUCAUAAAAUAUUUAAAUAAUAGUUCAAUACAAUAAUAAAACUAUAAUAAGCAAGGUAUAUGAAAUUGCCAUGUUUAAUUGCUUAAUUAAUUGUGCAGAAAAUGAUUGGUCAGAGGUCCCCAGUGGUCAGGGCAUUCUUUGGGUAUCUUAAAUCCUGGGGGAAUUUGAAUGGUCUGAAGGAAGGAUUUAUGAUAUUUCAAGACUAACAGUAAUACAGAUUCAUUGAAGGAGAAAUUGAAAGAUGAUUUUAGUGACUACAAUUUGGUGAAACGAUCAGAAGACAAUUUGAUUACAAAGAGUUGGAAUGCAACCCUUAAGAUUUUUUUAAUUAAAAAUUUUAAUUGAUAAAUAUUAAUUGAACAUAUAUAUUUAUGGGGUACAAUGUGAUAUUUUAACAUAUGUUUACAUUUGUGGAAUGAUUAAGUCAAACUAUAAAUCCACUAUCUCACAUACUUGUUUUUUUGUGGCGAAAACACUUAAAACCCUCUCUUUCAGUAGUUUUGAAAUAGAAAGCAUACAUUUAUCACAUGCUCAGUAAACUGACCAGGCAUAGUAAGACAAAUGCUACAUAAUCUCACUUAUAUGUAGAUGCUAAAUAUGUUGAACUCAUGGAAGUAAAGAAGCCAGAAGGUACCAGAAGCCAGGGGUAGCAGAUUGGAUACAAAAAAAGGGAGAUAUUGAUCAAAGGUACAAAAUUUCUGUUAGACAACCUUCAGAAACUGUACUACACUUUGUGGGUCUUGGGGACUCACUGUGGACUUUGGAGUAGGGAAAUACUAGGAUAAAAUUAACAUGUUAAACAUAUCCUGGGAAAGCCUAACAAAGGGAUUUGAAAAAGCAAAAGGUCAAAUUUAGAGGCAUAGAAUAAAAGUCCAACCCUGAGGCUAUAAAUGGCUUAUGCAAUGGAUAUGAAAAUGGAAAGAAGGAAGGAAUAUUUUUGAAAUAUCCAGCGAAAAUAAAACAAAACAACACAAAACAGAAAGACAAGACUGGGUAAUUGUUUAGAUGUAGACACUCAAGGGAAAGUGAGAAGUCCUAGAAAACAAAUUUGUGCCUCAUAAAUUUUAGGAAUGCUUUUUGUGAUUAUUUAAUCAAUUUGUUUGUUAUAGUAGUAGUCGUGUUAGCAAUGCAAAUCUCAGAGCCAGGAGCUGAUGGUACCUGUAUCUCCAGUGUUGUGAAAUUCUGGUAUUUAGACUUGCGUGUACUACAACCUGGUGUUUACCUUGCUUGACAUUGUUUACUUACUCUCACUAACUAAUAUUUUCCCUGAGGUACAGUACUCAUUAUCAAACCUAAAGUAUAGUAGUCAUUACUUAGUGGCCAAACUUCUUUAAUGUAAUUUUUCAUAUGUCUGUCUUCUAACAGGCACAACUUAGGCAAUAAUGACCCCCAUCAAUGCUAUAACGUUUUCUAUCCAGAAAAUAAAAUUAGAACAUUAGUCAGAAAUAUGAACUAUCUUACUUCUUUUCAUUCACUGACAACUUUCCAAUAUAAUAGAUAGACCUAAGCACAGUUCAUUCCCAAACAAUAUUAUGGUUUAAUAAAACCUCCAACCAGAAUAUCAUCUUGUUUACUCUUUAGACAAUUUUUCAAAGUGCUGUUUAAAGAAAUAUUUUGCCAAAAUUAACCCAGAUUCAGAAGGCUAAAGAAUAAAAAUAAUUAGAAUAAAAAAUCACCCUUAACAGUAACAUUCAAAUAUAACCUUUUUUCAUAUUUUACCACUUAUCCUCUCAGCUUAUUUUGUCUGCAUAUACAUAAAAUAUCUCUUUUGUUAUAGAAAUGAGAUCUUAUUUUAUAUCUAAAAAUGUAAUUGUUUUAUUUGUACUGUUCUGUGACCAGUUUUUUUCAAUUCAUUAUUUUUGUGAAUGUCUUCUGAAUGAAUAAUUGUAGAAUAACAUCAUCCCUAUAAUGUCAAUGAAAGUUUUAGUAACCUUCCAGUUUUGUGAGUCUCGGUGGUUUCCAAUAUUUUAUAUAGUAAAUACAAUUAUUGAAUAUUAUUUGCAUACUCACAUACAAACAUACAGGAAUAUCAUAACUCUGGUGUAAUAAAUAUUUAUUCACAUGUAUAUAUAUACGUAUGUGUGUGUAAUCACACAAUUGUUUAUCAUCUGAGAGUAAGUUUCUAAGAGCGACAUUGUUAGGUCAAAGUUGUGCAGCUUUAAGGUGUAUACAUAUUUUCAAAUUGCCUUACAUAAUUCCAUUUUUUCCUCCCCCCAGCAGGAUAUGUAAACACCCAUCCCAUCACUCUUUCUAUAAUUAAAAAAAAAAUGGGCUUUACCGCUAAUACUUAUUCUUGCAAUCUAUUAGCUAGUACAUGUUAUCUUUUGAGCUUUGGUUUACAUUUGAGGGGGAUUUACUUGUAGGUAAACCUUAUUUUAUGUGUAUUGGUCAUUUAUAUUUUCACUUUUUGAACUGUCUGUUCACAUUCUUAGCACAGUUUCUACCAGAGUGCAAACUAUUUUCUUAAGUAUAUUUUCUGAUUAUCAGACAAUACAACCAGUUUCAACAGCGUAUUAAAAUAGUGGAGUUUCUUAUAUCUGCUAUUAUUAUGAAAAAAUUAUAUGACAUAAUAAAAUGUCAAGAUGCUAAAUGCCUAGUAUUGUCUAACUUUAAUAUUUCCAAUUUUACUAAACUCUUUGUUUAAUAGCUGCUUUACUUAAAUAAGUGGUAACAUUUAUCAACAUUGUCUUAUGUAAUUUAUUUUAUUCUUUAAUGAGGAUUAGAUUUUUUUAAAAAAACUGAAAAUAUAUCAAAGAGAAGUAUAUACAACAAAAUAUUUCUUGUCAAAGCCACAUUUAAGUGACUGCCCUUUAUUGCCACUAAAGGGGAACCUUAUUUUUGGCUGUAUCAAAGUAUGCAGCACAAUGUGGAAAAUUUCAAAGUUUGUUAGCAUAAAUAUCAUAAAACCCCAAAUCCCCACUCACGCCCUUAAUGGCUGAUAGGAGCUGAGUUUUCACCCUUCUCAUAUUGGCACUCCUUUCCAAGUAUUGUGCCUACUGCCUGCCAAAGUAAUGCUUUUUCAUUUUAGCACAAAAUCUUGGUUACUAAGGAGUAUAAAAACCUAUUCCUUUCAUAGCUAGACACUUACAUGAAAAGUGAAGGAUGAGGGACAAUUUGAGAUUGGCAAUGGAAGAUCAGAUUGCAGUGGAGCUCAUGGAACAAUCAAGUUAGAACAGAGUCUUCAAGAGAGGGUAGGAAGAAAAUAUUCCUGCAAAGCAUUGAGAGUCACAGCUCUCAAGUAUCUACAGAAGAUCAAUGACAACAGUGACUUAUUAAUGUAGUUCAAUAAAUGUUCUCUUACAUGUAUAAUAAAAGAUAUGUUAAUACUAUUAAAUAAUUUAUUUCAUAAUGAACAGUUCAUUCAUGAAUAUUUCCCAUAUAAUUGUGGAAGAGAUAAACAUCACAAGUGUCUGUGCCUUUGAUCACAUAGACUUGAAUUGUCCUAUAGGAUAAAAUAAAUAUUGCAGUCACCUUCCUUUAUUCAAUUUAUGUUUAUUUAUCAGCAGCAUUUUCAGGUUAUUUUUUGGAUAAUAGAUAUGCACACACACACAAAAAAAACAAAACUCCUGCCCUUCAAUUUCCUUCUAAUUAAAGAGACUGAUAACAAACAUAUGGUUAUGGAAUAUAAUGAGAGAUAAUAAGUGCAAUGGAUAAAAAUUAUGGCACAGUAAGAAGCUAGGCAAAUGGAGGCUUAUUAUUAUACAGGAUGGUCAGUUAGGAACCCUAUGAGGAAAUGACAUUUAAGUAUGGCCUUAGGAGACCUAAGCAUCAAACUAGAGUUCAGAGUAUUAAAAGUUGAGGGCAAAGCAAAUGGGGUGGUCAUGAGACAGGAGUGUGCUUGGUUCUCAGCAUGUUCAGGGGUUAUUUAGAAACUUGUGUUACUUCCUUAUUUUUCUAUUGGAUUGAUUUUUUUUUUUCUCAAAGUUAACACCCAAAUCUAUUAAUUGACUCAGAUGGCUAGAAAGUGGGAAACAUCAAAGUUGUAUUCAUUGAUACAUUUGCUUUCAGACAUACUUGUUUAUGUUACAACUGAAAGACAAAAGCUGUAAAAGGUAGAUGUCAGAAAGAUGGUAUCAAUCAGGAUAGGUAAAAUAGACACAAAAGUAUAAAUUGUUUAUGAAUAAAUUUUAAGAGUAACAUUUUAGUGGUGUUACUAAUAACUUGUAACAAUGAUUAAACAAAGUCACAUUGUUUUACAGCUCCAAAUAUUAAAAUUUUGACUUCAUUUAAUUCAUCAUUUUGUUUGCCAUGACUCAAGUUACGACUAAAAAAAACCAAGGUAGAAUCUUUGAACAACAUUGCUUCCAAAAGUUGGGCCCACAUUUGGUUCCUGAAUUUUACUGAUGGCCGAUCAACCUGAGACUAUGAGCUUGUACAGUGACACCUAAUGAAAUCAGUUAUAUGAUAUUCAUAUUUUAGAUUAUAUUUUGUUUGGUGCUCCAGUCUGAUGUUAAGUAAAUAUUCUUAAAUGAACAGGAGUGACCACAGAGAAUGGGUUUGUUGAAAACAUUUGCAAGAUUAACCCAAAAUUGCGAAGCACAGCUUUCUUAUUUCCUUGUAACUACAUAGAUAUUUUACAUAUAUAAUUAUAUGGAUAUCUAAAAAAGUAGUAUGUACUGUUGUAAAACUGUAUACAUGACCAUCAAUUAAUUUGGAAUUUCAAAAUAUUUCAAAUGACUUCUCAAAAGCAUAUGCAAAUAAUAAAAUGUCAAUAUUUUCUGUGCAUUUUAUGAUUUUGCUGAUGAAGGUAUUUUCUACAUGAAUACCUUUUAAUGAAGUAUCAAGAAAACCACAAAGCACUUAAUUCAUCAAGAUGUUAGCCUGUCAGUUCUUCAUUUUGGGUUCCACACAUCAAGAGAAUUUGCUAAAUAUUCAAGAGAAAAUCAUGACUUUUACAUCCUCAGGCAUUCAUCUUGAGCUAAAGAAUUUGAGAAUUGAAAUCUUGGCAGAGGUUAACUUACAGGCAAGAGCAAUCCAUCUGAGGGACUACAUCAUGACUGAAGACUUCUGUCCCAAACUUUUUUAAAGGAACUUUGUUAUACCAAAGUUAACAAUCUUUAGAAAGAUGUAACACUCAUUUUGAUAGCUAGAUAAAUCAAGAGAGGGUAUUUCCUUAUAGCUGCAAUGAAAUCUGUAAUGAAUUUACAGUCAUUUGUUUGUUUUACUUAAUUCAAUUAAACAGAUAUGCUAAAUGUUGCAAGAGAUGUAAAUUUUUGUACACUAUUCUUGAUCUUAGAGGUUAAGAGGUACAAGACAUUAGUAAAAUCCAUGAUGCAGGGUAGAUAGUUGUAAACUCAAAAAAUAAAUAAGCAAA